GGUAGGUAGGGGCCAGCUAGACUACAGUAGAGAGGGGUAGGUAGGGGCCAGCUAGACUACAGUAGAGAGGUAGGUAGGGGCCAGCUAGACUACAGUAGAGGUAGGUAGGGGCCAGCUAGACUACAGUAGAGAGGGGUAGGUAGGGGCCAGCUUGACUACAGUAGAGAGGUAGGUAGGGGCCAGCUAGACUACAGUAGAGGUAGGUAGAGAGGCCAGCUAGACUACAGUAGAGAGAGGUAGGUAGGGGCCAGCUUGACUACAGUAGAGAGAGGUAGGUAGGGGCCAGCUAGACUACAGUAGAGAGGUAGGUAGAGGCCAGCUAGACUACAGUAGAGAGUAGGUAGGGGCCAGCUUGACUACAGUAGAGAGAGGUAGGUAGGGGCCAGCUAGACUACAGUAGAGAGAGGUAGGUAGGGGCCAGCUUGACUACAGUAGAGAGAGGUAGGUAGGGGCCAGCUAGACUACAGUAGAGAGGGGUAGGUAGGGGCCAGCUAGACUACAGUAGAGAGAGGUAGGUAGAGGCCAGCUAGACUACAGUAGAGGGGUAGGUAGGGGCCAGCUAGACUACAGUAGAGAGAGGUAGGUAGGGGCCAGCUUGACUACAGUAGAGAGGGGUAGGUAGGGGCCAGCUAGACUACAGUAGAGGUAGGUAGAGAGGCCAGCUAGACUACAGUAGAGAGGUAGGUAGGGGCCAGCUUGACUACAGUAGAGAGAGGUAGGUAGGGGCCAGCUUGACUACAGUAGAGAGAGGUAGGUAGGGGCCAGCUUGACUACAGUAGAGAGAGGUAGGUAGGGGCCAGCUUGACUACAGUAGAGAGAGGUAGGUAGGGGCCAGCUUGACUACAGUAGAGAGAGUAGGUAGGGGCCAGCUUGACUACAGUAGAGAGAGGUAGGUAGAGGCCAGCUAGACUACAGUAGAGAGAGGUAGGUAGGGGCCAGCUAGACUACAGUAGAGAGAGGUAGGUAGGGGCCAGCUUGACUACAGUAGAGAGAGGUAGGUAGGGGCCAGCUAGACUACAGUAGAGAGAGGUAGGUAGGGGCCAGCUAGACUACAGUAGAGAGGGGUAGGUAGAGGCCAGCUAGACUACAGUAGAGAGAGGUAGGUAGGGGCCAGCUAGACUACAGUAGAGAGAGGUAGGUAGGGGUCAGCUUGACUACAGUAGAGAGAGGUAGGUAGGGGCCAGCUUGACUACAGUAGAGAGAGGUAGGUAGGGGCCAGCUAGACUACAGUAGAGAGAGGUAGGUAGGGGCCAGCUUGACUACAGUAGAGAGAGGUAGGUAGAGGCCAGCUAGACUACAGUAGAGGGGUAGGUAGGGGCCAGCUUGACUACAGUAGAGAGAGGUAGGUAGGGGCCAGCUUGACUACAGUAGAGAGAGGUAGGUAGGGGCCAGCUUGACUACAGUAGAGAGAGGUAGGUUGAGGCCAGCUAGACUACAGAAGAGGGAAAGAGAUUUAACAGAUUUAAAUCAGACUAGAAAAAAAUCCACCACACAGAGCCAUAGAGAGACUGACAGAAACUCCCACAGUAAGACACACACACUUGCAAUACCUAGAGUUUUGUGUAGAUGGCGCUGUUACACUAGUCAGACUCCAACACUACCAGUAAGGGAUUAACAGUCAGUG